rnacentral:sRNA from 1 species
GCUGGGUGUGGUGGUGCAUGCCUGUAAUCCCAAUAGCUUGGGAGGCUGAGGCAUGAGGAUCUCCAGUUCAAAGCCAGCCUCAGCAAAAGUAAGGAACUAAGAAACUUAGUGAGAUCCUGUCUCUG